rnacentral:lncRNA from 1 species
CCAAGUGCUCAACCGUGAUCCACAAAGCGCUCACAGGAUUGAUGGUGACAAAUGGCCUUAUCCUGGUGGAAACGGACACUACACCCCAUUGCCUGAUUGAGGACGGGAGUGGAGACACCAUUGGAAAUGUAGGUGCCAGACAGGGCAGAGAUUCUCCUCCCAAAGUUGGUGAGCAGAAUCCCACCCGGUACUCAGCUGGGCUCCUGAUUCCAGGCACGGACCACCUGGUGAGCA